CAUGAGUUCAAGUCCCUACCACCCUGAACGCGCCCGAUCUCGUCUGAUCUCAGAAGCUAAGCAGGGUUGGGCCUGGUUAGUACUUGGAUGGGAGUUCAAGUCCCACAUCAAGUGAACUCAUGC
ensembl:rRNA 5S_rRNA 5S ribosomal RNA